GCUGCGCCGCCGCCGCUGACAGUCACCGCGGAGCGACACGCGCUGCCCGGCACCCGCCCGCAGCUGUUACGUGGGCCAACGAGGAAGUGCCGUGCGCAUGCGCGGCCGCCGCCUCUCCCUCUCCUCGCUCCCCGGCGGUGCCGCCCCCUCCCCGGCCUCGCGCCCCCUCCCCUGUCCCGCGGGGGGUGCCGAGCGCCGGGAGGGGGCGGCAGCGCGGGAACGGGCGGCAGCGCGGGAACGGGGCUGUGGGGCGAGGCCUGCUGGGGAAUCGCCACGGCCAUUACGGUCAGAAUUAGCCACGAAUUCGAAUUAGAACUGAAAUCAAAUUUACGUUAAAAAAAAAAAAAAAAACACAACAAAACAAAACAAAGCACCGCAGCGCAAGGGGGGCACUUUGGUGGAAGCGCACCAGGUCGGCGAGUGGCGGGUUUGCAACUAUAAAGAAAGAAAUAUCAAAGAGGUAACCAGCGGUGGUUAAAUAAGUAAAUAAGCAGGUGGCUGUCGUCACGGCGGGCGACAUCCGACGCCCCAGGCUGUGGGGUUUUGCAGCCUUUUGGCACUCGCAAGCCCUCGUCCGCCGAGCACUGUGUGAUACAAAGCGUGAGGAUAUCACGUACCGUACAGCAGCCGCAUUACGGAUCAAAGCCAUCCGUGCCAGCAGCUGUUCUCGCCCUCCCCACACACAGGGAUUCUCUCCACAAAAGCCCAGAAUUUCAUGACUCUGACAUCUGAACAGCUGAAAAUGGACAAUGUGAUAUGGAUGUGUUCAGCUCAAUGCUCAGCACCUACUCCUGUACUUCAGCACCCUGCACGUGUCGUUCCAACAGAACUCUCAGAAAUAGUUUAAUAUACCAAUAAAAAGUUGCAGUGCCUGAGGAAGCAUUAAAA